rnacentral:rRNA from 1 species
UACGUAGGGGGCCAGCGUUGCUCGGAAUUACUGGGCGUAAAGGGUUCGUAGGUGGUGCGGCAAGUUGGGAGUGAAAUCUCUGGGCUUAACCCAGAGGCUGCUUUCAAAACUGCCGCGCUCGAGUGCGAGAGAGGUCAGUGGAAUUGCAGGUGUAGCGGUGAAAUGCGUAGAUAUCGGGAGGAACACCUGUGGUGAAGACGGCUCUCUAGACCGCAACUGACGCUGAGACACGAAAGCGUGGGUAGCAAACAGG